rnacentral:rRNA from 1 species
GACGAACGCUGGCGGCGUGCCUAACACAUGCAAGUCGAACGGGGUUAAGGAAGCUUGCUUCCUUGACUUAGUGGCGAACGGGUGAGUAACGCGUGAGGAACCUGCCUUUCAGUGGGGGACAACAGUUGGAAACGACUGCUAAUACCGCAUAACGUAUUCGAGCGGCAUCGCUUGAAUACCAAAGCUUUAUGUGCUGAAAGAUGGCCUCGCGUCUGAUUAGCUAGUUGGUGGGGUAACGGCCUACCAAGGCGACGAUCAGUAGCCGGUCUGAGAGGAUGAACGGCCACAUUGGGACUGAGAUACGGCCCAGACUCCUACGGGAGGCAGCAGUGGGGAAUAUUGGGCAAUGGGGGAAACCCUGACCCAGCAACGCCGCGCGAAGGAAGAAGGCCUUCGGGUUGUAAACUUCUUUUACCAGGGACGAAGAACGUGACGGUACCUGGAGAAAAAGCAACGGCUAACUACGUGCCAGCCGCCGCCGUAAUAC